GAUGAACGCUGGCGGUAUGCUUAACACAUGCAAGUCGAACGGACUCUUCGGAGUUAGUGGCGGACGGGUGAGUAACGCGUGAGAAUCUGGCUUUGGGUUCGGGACAACCACUGGAAACGGUGGCUAAUACCGGAUGUGCCGAGAGGUAAAAGAGAAAUUGCCUGAAGAUGAGCUCGCGUCUGAUUAGCUAGUUGGUGAGGUAAAGGCUCACCAAGGCAGCGAUCAGUAGCUGGUCUGAGAGGAUGACCAGCCACACUGGGACUGAGACACGGCCCAGACUCCUACGGGAGGCAGCAGUGGGGAAUUUUCCGCAAUGGGCGAAAGCCGGACGGAGCAAUACCGCGUGAGGGAAGAAGGCUCUUGGGUUGUAAACCUCUUUUCUUAGGGAAGAACAAAAUGACGGUACCUAAGGAAUCAGCAUCGGCUAACUCCGUG
rnacentral:rRNA from 1 species